rnacentral:rRNA from 1 species
CCUACGGGUGGCAGCAGUGAGGAAUAUUGGUCAAUGGGCGCGAGCCUGAACCAGCCAAGUAGCGUGAAGGAUGACUGCUCUACGGGUUGUAAACUUCUUUUAUAAAGGAAUAAAGUGAGGCACGUGUGCCUUUUUGUAUGUACUUUAUGAAUAAGGAUCGGGUGACUCCGUGCCGGCAGCAGCGGUAAUCCGGAGGAUCCGAGCGUUAUCCGGGUUUAUUGGGUUUAAAGGGAGCGUAGAUGGGUUGUUAAGUCAGUUGUGAAAGUUUGCGGCUCAACCGUAAAAUUGCAAUUGAUACUGGCAGCCUUGAGUACAGUUGAGGUAGGCGGAAUUCGUGGUGUAGCGGUGAAAUGCGUAGAUAUUACGAAGAACUCCGAUUGCGAAGGCAGCUUACUAAACUGCCACUGACAUUGAUGCUCGAAAGUGUGGGUAUCAAACAGGAUUAGAUACCCCGGUAGUC